rnacentral:rRNA from 1 species
UGAAGCGGCAACAGCUCAAAUUUGAAAUCUGGCCUCGGCCCGAGUUGUAAUUUGCAGAGGAUGUUUCUGGCGCGGUGCCUUCCGAGUUCCCUGGAACGGGACGCCACAGAGGGUGAGAGCCCCGUAUGGUUGGACACCAAGCCUGUGUGAAACUCCUUCGACGAGUCGAGUAGUUUGGGAAUGCUGCUCAAAAUGGGAGGUAAAUCUCUUCUAAAGCUAAAUACCGGCCAGAGACCGAUAGCGCACAAGUAGAGUGAUCGAAAGAUGAAAAGCACCUUGAAAAGGGGGUUAAACAGUACGUGAAAUUGUUGAAAGGGAAGCGCUUGUGACCAGACUUGCGCCGGGCGGCUCAUCCGGGGUUCUCCCCGGUGCACUCCGCCCGGCUCAGGCCAGCAUCGGUUUUCGUUGGGGGAUAAGAACGUCAGGAACGUGGCCCUCCCUCGGGAGGGUGUUAUAGCCUGGCGUACGAUACCCUGGCGGGGACCGAGGUUCGCGCUCCGCAAGGAUGCUGGCGUAAUGGUCAUCAGCGACCCGUCUUGAAACACGGACCAAGGAGUCGUCCAUUAGAGCGAGCGUUUGGGUGUCAAACCCGCACGCGUAAUGAAAGUGAAAUUAGGUGAGAGCUUCGGCGCAUCAUCGACCGAUCCUGAUGUUCUCGGAUGGAUUUGAGUAAGAGUUUUAACGGACGGACCCGAAAGACAGUGAACUAUGCUUGUAUAGGGUGAAGCCAGAGGAAACUCUGGUGGAGGCUCGCAGCGGUUCUGACGUGCAAAUCGAUCGUCAAAUAUGA